ACAAAUUGCUGCAGGCAGUGGGGCCAGAAGCCCUUUGGGUUGUGAGCAGCCACAUCAGUGUACUCCCUUCCUUCCCCCCAUUUUCUCUCCACUUUUCCCCCCCUUUCUCAUGUUUUGAGCAUUGUGAGGAGCUGGAUUCAGAUGUGUGGCUUUGUUUUAUUUUAUAGCUUUUCUAUGCUGUUUCUUGAGGAACAUCAGGUAUUCUAGAAGCUGGAAAAAAAUUUUUCACACCAAUAAAUGAAUUGUUGGGAAGAGCUUCAGUUUCACUACAGACAGACCUUUUGCAGGCAGAGACUGAGGAAAGAUUUGCCCUGAAUGUUGGGGUAAUGACCCUUCUCAUACAGGGAUUCAAAACUACAUCCAAAAUGCACAUUCAAAGUAGCAGCUGUGUGGAGAGUGAAGAGAGACUGUGCCCUCAUGCAGCCUCCCUUCUUCCUUGGGAUGUUAAAUCAACAAGCACAUGCAGAGAAAAGGGCAAGAACACCAGCACCACUCCUGUUUCUCAAACUCAGGAAUGUGAUUCUCUUCUGCUUUGCCCAGCUCAUUUGGAGCCUUCAUUAUCCUCCCUGCAGUCCUCUUUCACUUUAUCAACAAGAAGCUCUGCUGUGAAGAGAGAGGUGGGCUCCCAUGCCUGGAACAACAAAGGUGAAGAAAACACUGCAAAGAAAAGUCCAGACCCCAUGAAAGCCUUGGUCCUCUCCUUUCUGGGUGCCCUGGAUUUACAUGAGAUGAACACACUUUUCCCCUGAAUUUGUCAUCACGUACUCUGCAUGAUAGAGAGACCUGGGUUUUUUGAAAUAAAGC
rnacentral:lncRNA from 1 species